rnacentral:rRNA from 1 species
CUCCUUUGACGUUAGCGGCGGACGGGUGAGUAACACGUGGGUAACCUACCUAUAAGACUGGGAUAACUUCGGGAAACCGGAGCUAAUACCGGAUAAUAUUUCGAACCGCAUGGUUCGAUAGUGAAAGGUGGUUUUGCUAUCACUUAUAGAUGGACCCGCGCCGUAUUAGCUAGUUGGUAAGGUAACGGCUUACCAAGGCGACGAUACGUAGCCGACCUUAGAGGGUGAUCGGCCACACUGGAACUGAGACACGGUCCAGACUCCUACGGGAGGCAGCAGCU